rnacentral:misc_RNA from 1 species
GAUGAAGAACGCAGCGAAAUGCGAUAAGUAAUGUGAAUUGCAGAAUUCAGUGAAUCAUCGAAUCUUUGAACGCACCUUGCGCCCUUUGGCCAUUCCGAAGGGCAUGCCUGUUUGAGUAUCAUGAAGACCUCAACUCUUCAUGGUUUUCCGUGAUGAGCUUGGACUUUGGGGGUCUUGCUGGCCUAUGGUCAGCUCCUCUAAAAUAAAUCAGCUUGCCAGUGUUUGGUGGGUAUCACAGGUGUGAUAACUAUCUACGCUUGUGGUUUUCCACCAGGUAACCUUCAGCAGUGGAGGUUCGCUGGAGCUCACAGAUGUGUCUCUCCUCAGUGAGGACAGCUCUUUGAAUGUUUGAUCUCAAAUCAGGUAGGACUACCCGCUGAACUUAAGCAUAUCAAUAAGCGGAGGA